ensembl:lncRNA
CGAGCGAGCAAAAAUUUGUCUCGAGCGAGCAAAAGUUUGUCUCCGCGAGGUAUUUGCUCGCUUGUGAAACGUGAACUUCGUUGCUCGUGAGGAGAAUCUCUGCUCGCGCUCGAAGUAGUUUUCUACGCGCUCGCUGUUGUUCUUUUUGACAGUAAGGUGGAGACGGUGCUUUCAGGGUCCGGUCGAUGAGAGGCACAAAAUCUUAAUUUCCACCAGGCUGAUUGCAUUGUAUAUGGUUGAUUUAACAGAAUUUAGGGAGUGUGUUAUUUAUUUCAAACCGUGCUCUGCUGAGAGUUUUUAUUAUUUUGAUUUAAUUUCUUUUACUUUUAGCCUACUUUUAUUUUCUGUCUUUGCACUGCUGACUAGCCUGAAUAAAAUAGACAGGUUAUUGUCUAUGCUGGUUUGUCUAGCCUUUAUUGAGCUCUGUUGGUUGAGCAUGAUGUUUAGACAGUGUUUUGUUAUUGUCUUUGCCGAAUAUUGCAAAAUAAAGGUGUAACUGUUUUUGCAAUUUAGCUACUCUCUUUUCUACUCUCUAAGGUUUAAUUAUUAUUUAAGUAAUUUUUUUUCUACAAAAAACUAGGCCCACCCACUUUUUCACUGGCCCGCCCAAAAUACAAUUUCUGCCUAAGCCCCUGCUGCUCGCGCACAAAGGAGUUUUCUACGCGCUCGCUGUUGUUCUUUUUGACAGUAAGGUGGAGACGGUGCUUUCGGGGUCCGAUCAAUGCUGCGAGGUGGGUCUGGAUUAGGAUUGAAGGAUUAGGGAUGAAUGAGGUUCAUACAUUUUGUUCGUCCGGCGGUGCUGCAGCUUCAUUAUGCUACUUGAUAUUGUGCUUUGCUCCACGCUUUGCUCCCCCCCUCCAAGUUCUUACACCUGCUUUAGCUUUGUUUUUUUUGUCUUCGACACUGGGUUGUCCCCCAAUAGUUUUGUUUGCGUUUCAGAACGUUAACUUUACACACUCUUUGUUGUCAUUGUGGACAGUGAGGAAGUUAUGUAACGGAGGUGUCAUAAAACUCUGCACUGUUUGAGAAGAAAACGCCAGGUCUCUGAACUUAAGAAAGAACAGCCAAGGCCCUUGAGUUUUUACUACACGAGCCAGACGCGCAGGUUCAGAUGCUCGCAGUUUGUUUUAUGAUGUCAGGCCUUAAACUGCAGAUACUUCAGCUGAGCUCGCAGGGGCAUAAUCUCCAGCUGGAAAGCUUUCUCGGGCCCUGGUGUUGCCCUUCACCUGGGUGAGGCGUGGAAAGUUGGCAGGAGACUGGAGUUUCAGCAACAUCAAUACUCUUCCUGCCACCAGGUUUGUUUUAUGUCUCUCUGCGUCGGCGGGCACUUGAGGGGUGGACAAUUUGUUUAGGCAGCUGAAGAUGGAACUGUGUGUAGCGGAGGAUUAUGAGAUCGCCGGGUGAUUUGUGGGUGGGAUCUUCUCAGAGGCCCCCGGCUGAAAUAUCCAACACUUGCUUUGGUGUUAAAUUAUGAUACCUAAACCAUAAAUAUUCUGCAUUAAGACCCCCAGCGUUCCACGUUUGAGAACAGAUAGUUUGUCUUUCUGUUCUUACUCCCCCCGUGAGUGGCUGAAUUUGUCCCACAUUCCUUUGUGAAAAACACUUAAUGAGUCAGUGAAACCAGGGAUUUUAUUCUUCCUCUGUUGCGCACACAUCUUCGCAGCGCGGUUUACAUCUUAAUAAUGUACUCCAGACCAUAAUUUAAUUCACCACAGCAGUGUGAAACACACACCGAGAAGGAAUCUCGCCACAGCAAAAAUUGGAGUGUUGAAAUUUCAGGGUUAAAAAUUUCCGAGUUGAUUUUCACUCCCUGAGUGUAAUUUUAACACAUUCUGAUUUAAAUGGUGUUCAGUGUUGGAGUUAUUUGGCAGAGUUGAUCAUGUCAGUGUUAACCCAACUCCGCAGAGACGUAAUUAAGCUCCGCCCACGCCUUUCACCUCUUCGGUUAGAGACAGAGAAGACAAGUCUGCGCCAUUUUCUACCUCUCAUGCAGUACUACACGAAUUCUCUGAUUUCUCCUUGUCUUCUGAGACGUCUGACUCAAGCUUCAGCUCAAGUGCAUCAACUAUAAUCCUAGAUGUUCCGAACAAGAGACAAAGAAUUGAGGAUACACGUGAUGCUGUGUCUGCUAAACAGUUGAUAGAAGCUGUGCUAAGAGGCAAGUCCGGAGGUGAAGAAGUACUACAGGAGUACCAAACAACAGAAACCCAGAUGCUGCAAGAAGACAAAUGGUUAAUAUCCUGGUGGCUCACAUGAUUGACAAUCAUGGGCACUAAAACAAUCAGAGAAGAUUAUGCACGUGGGAUAGUGAUGCUGUUCCCUUCCCUUAAGGAUCCAUACUCCAAGAAGGGCUAUGAACACUUCUAUGAUGCUGCAAGCAGCACAGGAUACAUUUCUUGGCGUCUGAAAACAGUCCAGAGGAAGAUUCGUCAAGUAUCUGCACAGCCACCAAAAAGCCCAAUUGACUUUUCUCCAGUAGGCCCAAAUUGCCAAAGGACUGUUAAUGUUGAAGGGCAGCUUGAUGGUGAUGCUUGCCAAGAGGCCAUGUCUUUGCUUAACCAUGCAGCAGACAAUUCCCUGAUUUUCCAGAAGAUGAGAGAGACCUUUCAGCAUCGUCAGAAGCUUGUUAAUGACCCAGGCAGAAGUGUUGAUAUACUCUCCAACUUCCCAAGAUUUCUGGAUACAAAAGGAUUGGUGGAACAAGACUUCACUCUCCUAUUUGACGAAGACACAUCAUCCAGGCUUCUUCAGAAAUGGGAUUUGUUCUUCAAGCCAAAUGUCAUUAAAGAGGCUAAGCGGCUCACCUCAACACCAGAGUUGCGUCGCUUGGUGCAGUCAGCAGAAAGUCCCCCAGGAAGUGAUCUUGAUGAGGCAACAACCUACGACCAAGAAAUGGCCUCCCUGUUGUUGCUGUUACAUCUCCUUCCACCACCUCCAGGGGGACUGAAGUCUCCAAAAAUUAGUGCAUGUGAUGCAGUUGAAAGACUUGUUGUCUUUCAUAAGUCAUGCUGCAGUUUGGAGGAGCAUCUCCGCAACCAGCAGGGUCGGCAGCCGUACCUCCUCGCUGUUGGGCGUCAGAAGAGCAAGAUUGACAGCUUCUACGUCACCAUGGAUAAGCGUCUCAUCCCAUGCAAGGCAAACCGCUCCCUCGGGGCAUGUGAUGAACUUUUCAAAGCACAUUAAAUUUGUCUUACGAUGUGGCACUUGUGAAUUUUUAUACAUUCCUGCAGACAACAGUGUAUAACAUUGAUGUGGGGAAAAUGAAGGAGUCACCCAGAGUUAAAGACUUGAGAGCAAGACUGCUUAACCAGCAAGUAGCAUUCUCACCCUGUGAGUAAGAAGCUAUAACAAUGCUGACCUGUUUCAUGUGUCAGAAAAAUUAUCCCAGCAGUCAGCAGUUGAUUUCACAUUUAAGAGUUGAACAUGGUUACUAUCCUGGACCCAAGUUCAAAUUGUUUUGUUCUCAGCAAUGCUGUAGGCAUCAGUUCCUAACAUAUGCAGGUUUUCGAAAGCACCGUAAUAGUGUUCAGAGCAUUUUUCAGCAAACUCAAACUUCAACUGUUGCAUGUUCAUCUAGUGAGCCAGUUGCAACUUCAUCUCAGGCACAUACUUUGGAGGACCAAUUUAUUCCACAAAAUCAAUGUAGUUCUUCCAGUAUUUCUUCUGAGGCCAAUGAUUCAGGACUUACUAAAGAUCCAACUAAAGAAAUGUGUGCAUCCAUCGUGGCCAAAUUACAGGGGAGUGGGAUAUCCAACAGUUUGGUAUCCUCAAUUGUAGGAGAUUUGGAAGAACUAACGAGUGAACUUCGCUCACAAGCAAAGCAUACAGCUAUUUCUGCUUUACCUAUAACUGACCCCAACAUAUCUGUGAUAAAUGAAUCUUUUGAAGAUUAUGAAAAUCCGUUUUCAAAUCUGAACACAGAAUGGAAACGAAAUAAAUACUUCCACCAAAAAUGGGGAGUUGUUGAGCCAGUAGAAAUAACACUGGGAGUGAGAUAUGACAACAGGCGAAAUCAGAAAUCCGGUACUUAUGAUCAAGUACCUGUGAAGGAUACUUUUAUCUAUGUGCCAAUUUUAGAAACAUUGAAGUUCAUGUGCAGAAAUCCAGACAUUUGUGUUUUGCUAAAGAAGGAGUGUAGAUCAGAGCCUGACACUUAUACUGACUUUUUUGGUGGAAGUUAUUUUAAAACCCACCCUUUGUUUACAGCUAAUAAACAUGCAUUGCAAAUUCAACUAUACUAUGACGAUUUUGAAACAGCCAAUCCCCUUGGCUCCAAACGUGGAAUACACAAAAUUGGCUGUCUUUAUUUUGUUGUAAGAAAUUUGCCCCCAAAAUUUAAUUCGGUUUUGAUGAACAUUCAUUUGGUAUCACUUUUUCACACACAAGAUCUGCGCAAGUAUGGUUUUGAUGUUAUACUAGAACCGUUGAUAAAUGAUGUGAAAAAACUAGAAAGCCAAGGGCUAAGUCUUCCAUUUGUAGAUGAGCAGGUAUAUGGUACAAUCUGUCAGAUUACUGGAGAUAAUCUAGGGAUGCACACAAUUCUUGGUUUUAAUGAGUCAUUUAGUAGCCGUCAUUUCUGUUGCCUUUGUUUGAUUGAGAAGAAUGAUUGUCAAACGGUAUACAGUGAGGAUGAUCCUAAAGUGAUCCUUCGUGGAAAAGAUAUGUUUGAUAUGCAUUGCCAGUCUCUCCAGGAAAACCCACAAUUUAAGUCACUUUAUGGUUUGAAAAAAAGAUCUGCACUUAAUUCAUUGAAGUAUUUCCAUGUUUGCAAUAACUAUUCAUUUGAUAUCAUGCAUGAUCUUCUUGAGGGUGUGGUUCAGUAUGAGAUCAAAUUGCUUUUUGGAUAUCUCACACAACACUUUAUGUCAGAACAAGACUUGCUUUCCAGGAUUUAUGGUUUUGAUUAUGGAUUUUUAGAACGAAAAAAAUCGUCCUACAAAGAUUAUUUUGGAGAGUGCUGGCAAUGGCAUUGGUUUGAAUUCUAUUCAGACAUUGUGUCUUGUGAAAAACAUCCCACUGUUGUUUGGUGAAAUUAUUCCUGCAGGAAACAAAAACUGGAAUUGGUUACUGUUGUCAAAUAAUGAACAUAGUUUUUUCACCUUCUCUCACUCUAGGUAUGACAAUAUAUUUAAAGCAUUUGAUUGUUGACCACCACAAACUAUUUAAGCACUUGUAUCCACAUAGAAACGUGAUACCUAAGCAUCAUUUUAUGAUCCAUUACCCAUCUUCUAUAAGGAAAAUUGGCCCCUUAUUAUAUACGUGGUGUAUGAGGUUUGAGGCCAAACACAAGCUGUUUAAAGAUUCUUUAAAAAAUUUCAAAAACAUAACCAAAUCGCUUGCUAUAAAGCAUCAGAUGGCCAUUGCUUAUCACUGGGAAACCUUCACCCUCAAAAAAAAUGAGUAUGGGCCCAUUAAAUCUUUUCUCUUCAGAGAUGAGAAUGUGGUCAACAAUGAAAUGCUUGAAACAAUCUUGUCAAAAGAUGUUUUCUCAACUAGUUGGGUUAAAGUUGAUGGUGUAGAGUAUAAAGCUGGACUAGUUAUUUGCAGUGCAAUGGAAGAAGACAUGCCAGUCUUUUGUCAAAUAAGUGAUGUACUUUUGGUUGAAGAUCACUUAUUUUUUUUGACAAACAAGCUAUUUACAGAGAAUUUUGAUGACCAUCAUCAUGCAUUCAGAGUAUUACGAAGUGCGGAAAGAUGUUUACUAAAAAUGUCUUAGCUUAAAUUUCAAAAACCGUUUGAUAUUCAAAGCUCAUACAAUGUUUCGGAUGAAAGUUUGUACAUUAUACCUUCAUUCACAAUGUUUUAAUUCAACUGACUGCAAG